rnacentral:lncRNA from 1 species
GUAAAUUGAGUAAAAAAGAUUCAUCCUUGCCAAUGUCGGCAGGCGUCAUCCAGUCCAUUGAGGGCCAGAUUAGAACAAAAAGGUGGAGGAAGGGCAAAUUCUGUCUUUCUUCUUGAGCCAGGACAUCCAUCUCUCCUGCCCUCAGACAUCGGAACCGGAGCUUCCGGUUCUUGGGCCUUGGACUCUGGGACUGACACAAGGCUGGCCUUCCUUUGUCCUUGGACUGGUUCUCCAGCGUGCUGGCAGCAGGUCAUGGCAUACCUCAGCCUCCAUCCUCGUGUAAAUCAAUUCCUGUAAUGACUCUCCUCUCAUACAUCACGAUAUAUCCUAUUGGUUCUGUUUCUCUGGAGAACCCCACUACACUAUCAUUUCUUUUUUCAGUAAUGAGCGUCAGAAAGGAGUCCAGAGGACAGGUUCUCUCUCCACUUCCUCAGCCUGCUGAGGACUGAGGCUGACAACAAGCAGACCCUAGAAAUUCUCCACAAUGCAUCCAUUCUCAGAUGUGUGGAUUUCCAGAUUUCGUUUAGAUGGAACAUGCUCAGGGAAAGAGGGCCCUCCCACAACUUCAGUGGAUAAACUAGGAUUGGUCUAAUCCAAGCAAGGUCAUGCCAUUUUCUUUUUGUUAUUGAUUGGUUUUGGGGUGGGCAUGUGACCCAAUUUUAACCAGUACGAUACAAAGGGAAGACAACUGGGGGACUUCUGGGAAGGAUUUUUCUUCCUCUUAUGCCAAGAAGUCCUUUCCAUCCUCCUGCCACGAAGGAGGUUGGGUAAGGAUGUGAUGCUUGGAGCUGUGGCAGCCAUCCUGCAACCAUAAGGUGAUAAGCCUAAGAAAGAGAAGCUAGCACACCAAGGAUGGUGGAGCAGAAAGAUAAAACGAGACUGGGUCCUUGAUGACUUUGCUGAGCUGUUGCAUCAACCCUGGGAUUCCCUGUCCCCCCAGCCUUCUUAUCUGAGAUAGUGAAGAAUCUUUAUUCCCGGAGACAUUAGCAGCUACACUGUUACCUGCAGCUGAAACGCUCCUUUCUGUAACGCAGCAAGCUCACGGGGUGUUGUGAGGAUGAAAUAAGAUAAUAAUGUUGGGGAAAAUUCCAAGCCUGGGACUUGGCUCAGAGUAGGUGUUCAAUACAUGCUGGUUUCCUCCC